UGUCAACAUUUUGUUCAAAAU
rnacentral:piRNA from 1 species